AUUUAAACCAUUUACGUAUAAAUUAAUUAAUCUUUAACAGGAAGAAGGAAAAAUAACUUGAAACCGGUGUUAUGUGGAUGUUUAACACUCCAAAAAAUACAAACUCACCAAAAUAUCUGCGAGUGGAAGGCAGAGGAGCCGUUAAACCUCUUUAGAUGUAAAUACGAAUUAAAUUCUUUUAUGCAAAUAAAUCUAUUUCAAAUGCUCAAGAUUUUCAAGAUAUAUAAUAAACUAUUGCCGAUCCGCAAAGUAUGAUGAAUUCAAAUUUAAUUAUUGCACAAGCCAAACC